AAAUCCUCCUCUGAAUAAAAAGUUCUCUGUUCGCGGAGCGCAACAACUUGUCCUGAACGUAUUCGGAAUGCGUUCAACAAGUUCUGGGAUUAAAGAGAGGAUUUAUUGUCCGCACAUGUGCAGAAGUUGAUUUGACGAAUUUAUUUAUUUUGUUAAGAGAUUCGAGAUUGUAUUUCUAACCUAACAAGUUUAAAAUUUUGAAUUGUUGUGUUAUCAUACAAAUGUUGUAAAAGAUGAUGAACCUCAGUUCAAGUGAUGAAGAUUUGGAAGAGAUUGUAGGACUUUUAAAUGUUCAAAAAAAUGCAAAUUUUUUUGAGGAAACUGUGCAACAAUUUAAUAACCAACAAUUUAUACAGAAUUUUAGAUUAAGUAGAGACUUAGCUGUAGAUUUGGCAAAUAAGUAUGAAAGAUCUCAUUUCCACAAUAUUAUGUAAAAUUACUUUUCCUGUU